rnacentral:rRNA from 1 species
GAUGAACGCUAGCUACAGGCUUAACACAUGCAAGUCGCGGGGCAGCAUGGGAGUUGCUUGCAAUCCCCGAUGGCGACCGGCGCACGGGUGAGUAACGCGUAUUCAACCUGCCCUUCACCACGGGAUAACCCGGCGAAAGUCGGACUAAUACCGUAUGUUGUCCAUUGACGGCAUCCGAUUUGGACGAAAGGCUUGGCGGUGAGGGAUGGGGAUGCGUCCGAUUAGCCAGACGGCGGGGUAACGGCCCACCGUGGCUACGAUCGGUAGGGGUUCUGAGAGGAAGGUCCCCCACACUGGAACUGAGACACGGUCCAGACUCCUACGGGAGGCAGCAGUGAGGAAUAUUGGUCAAUGGGCGUAAGCCUGAACCAGCCAAGUAGCGUGCAGGAUGACGGCCCUAUGGGUUGUAAACUGCUUUUAUGCGGGGAUAAAGUGGCCCACGUGUGGGCUUUUGCAGGUACCGCAUGAAUAAGGACCGGCUAAUUCCGUG